GGAAACAGGUGCUAAUACCGGAUAACAACACUAGACGCAUGUCUAGAGUUUGAAAGAUGGUUCUGCUAUCACUCUUGGAUGGACCUGCGGUGCAUUAGCUAGUUGGUAAGGUAACGGCUUACCAAGGCAAUGAUGCAUAGCCGAGUUGAGAGACUGAUCGGCCACAUUGGGACUGAGACACGGCCCAAACUCCUACGGGAGGCAGCAGUAGGGAAUCUUCCACAAUGGACGAAAGUCUGAUGGAGCAACGCCGCGUGAGUGAAGAAGGGUUUCGGCUCGUAAAGCUCUGUUGGUAGUGAAGAAAGAUAGAGGUAGUAACUGGCCUUUAUUUGACGGUAAUUACUUAGAAAGUCACGGCUAACUACGUGCCAGCAGCCGCGGUAAUACGAU
rnacentral:rRNA from 1 species